GACGAACGCUGGCGGCGUGCCUAAUACAUGCAAGUCGAGCGGACGGAUGCGAGCUUGCUCCCAGACCGUCCGCGCCGGCCGGGUGAGUAACCCGUGGGCAACCUGCCUGUAAGACUGGGAAAACUCCGGGAAACCGGGGCUAAUACCGGUUAACUCUUUCCCUCACAUGAGGGAAAGCGAAAAGAUGGCAUCUCGCUAUCACUUACACAUCUGCCCGGGUCGCUUUAGCUAGUUGGUGGGGCAACGGCUCACCAGGGCGACGAUGCGUAGCCGACCUGAGGGGGUGAUCGGCGACACUGGGACUGAGACACGGCCCAGACUCCUACGGGAGGCAGCAGUAGGGAAUCUUCCGCAAUGGACGAAAGUCUGACGGAGCAACGCCGCGUGAGUGAUGAAGGUGUUCGGUUCGGAAAACUCUGUUGUCAGUGAUGAACAAGUACCGGCGUAACUGCCGGUAGAUUGACGGUACCUGACCAGGAAGCCCCGGCUAACUACGUG
rnacentral:rRNA from 1 species